GGCCAAUAGACGCGGAAACUGAAGGAUCGGAAUCCAGGUCCACUCCGCAGAGGCCGGAGCAGGCUCGCGACGGAACCGGUUCUCCGGGUCUGGCCGGUGCUCCCCGAAGGACACCAGCCCAAUGGAGAUGGUCUGCAGGAAUGGCCGGAUGGCAGGCGUGAACUGUGGAGAGACGCGGCUGCGUCACCCACCGCUCAAGAGAGGGAUGGGGACAGGGCAGGAGCGAGGCGCAGGGAUGUGCGGGGAAGACACAUUCAUUCAGUAAACGUUUCAUGAGCUCCUACUGUGUGCUGGGCAUAGCUCUCGCCUGGUUCACGGACCUGAUGUUCUCAAAGGGAAAACAAAUGAUCAGCAUAUAAGCAAAGCCAUGCGCAGUAUCAUGACAAGGAAUGACGAAUGGCUUGAAAAAAAAAAGGCAGUAGGUGGAGAGGGCACGAGUGAUGACUAGGGGUCAGGCUACUUAGCGGGUCUCGGAGGAGAGAUCUGACUGAAGUGAGGGGAGGGUGUUCCCUGCACAAGGCACAGAGAGCGUGAAGGCUUAAAGAUGAGCUCAUAGGAGGCUGAGGCAGGAGAAUUGCUUGAACCCAGGAGGCGGAGGUUGCAGUGAGUGGAGAUCACACCACUGCACUCCAGCCUGGGCGACAGAGUGAGACUC